GAUGAACGCUAGCGGCAGGCCUAAUACAUGCAAGUCGAGGGGCAGCAGGGGUAGCAAUACUCGCUGGCGACCGGCGCACGGGUGCGUAACGCGUAUGUAAUCUGCCCACUACAGGGGGAUAGCCCGGAGAAAUUCGGAUUAAUACCCCAUAAAACAGGGAACCCGCAUGGGUAUAUUGUUAAAGCUCCGGCGGUAGUGGAUGAACAUGCGUCCGAUUAGCUAGUUGGUUGAGGUAACGGCUCACCAAGGCGACGAUCGGUAGGGGGUCUGAGAGGAUGAUCCCCCACACUGGUACUGAGAUACGGACCAGACUCCUACGGGAGGCAGCAGUAGGGAAUAUUGGGCAAUGGACGCAAGUCUGACCCAGCCAUGCCGCGUGCAGGAAGAAGGCUUUCUGAGUUGUAAACUGCUUUUGUACGGAACGAAACGGUGAGCUCUAAUACAGUUUGCUAAUGACGGUACCGUAAGAAUAAGCACCGGCUAACUACGUGCCAGCAGCCGCCGCAG
rnacentral:rRNA from 1 species